rnacentral:rRNA from 1 species
AUGAUUGCCACAAAGGAACCGAAUGCAAAACAGUGGAUCUUCACUCUUAUGGCGUCUUUGCCUCAUAACAGUUUUGUUCGAGUGUCUAUGACCCUUUGGUCGAUAUGGACAGCACGACGGAAAUUUAUCCACGAGGGGGUCACACAAAUUCCGCAAGCCAUUCAUCUUUUUGUGAGCAGGUUCAUCGGGGAACUUGAAUUAAUUCAUCCAAAGCCUCAGGAUAAUUUACAGGGAGCCCCCGGCAAACUAGGGUGGCACAUGCAAGGCCUAGGGCUCCAUCGGCGGGAUAUUCAAAGAGUCACGUGGACGGAGCGGUGCACCGGGAUCAAGGGGGAUCCGCUGCUACAGUAUGUCGGGACGAUGCUGGCAACUACUUGGGAAGCUCGGCCCUGGUCAUAG